rnacentral:rRNA from 1 species
GACGAACGCUGGCGGCGUGCCUAAUACAUGCAAGUCGAGCGGACCGGCUUGGGGCUUGCCUUGAUUCGGUCAGCGGCGGACGGGUGAGUAACACGUGGGCAACCUGCCCGCAAGACCGGGAUAACUCCGGGAAACCGGAGCUAAUACCGGAUAACACCGAAGACCGCAUGGUCUUCGGUUGAAAGGCGGCCUUUGGGCUGUCACUUGCGGAUGGGCCCGCGGCGCAUUAGCUAGUUGGUGAGGUAACGGCUUACCAAGGCGACGAUGCGUAGCCGGCCUGAGAGGGUGACCGGCCACGCUGGGACUGAGACACGGCCCAGACUCCUACGGGAGGCAGCAGUAGGGAAUCUUCCGCAAUGGGCGAAAGCCUGACGGAGCGACGCCGCGUGAGCGAAGAAGGCCUUCGGGUCGUAAAGCUCUGUUGUGAGGGACGAAGGAGCGUCGUUCGAAGAGGGCGGCGCGGUGACGGUACCUCACGAGAAAGCCCCGGCUAACUACGUG